GGCGCUAUAGUGUAGUGGCUAUCACAGCGGAUUCUGAUUCCGCUAACCCAGGUUCGAACCCUGGUAGCGCCU
rnacentral:tRNA from 1 species